rnacentral:rRNA from 1 species
UACGAAGGGGGCAAGCGUUGUGCGGAAUUAUUGGGCGUAAAGAGCUCGUAGGCGGUCUGUAGCGUCGGCUGUGAAAACUCAGGGCUUAACCCUGAGCCUGCAGUGGGUACGGGCAGACUAGAGUGUGGUAGGGGAGAGCGGAAUUCCUGGUGUAGCGGUGGAAUGCGCAGAUAUCAGGAGGAACACCGGUGGCGAAGGCGGAUCUCUGGGCCAUAACUGACGCUGAGGAGCGAAAGCAUGGGGAGCGAACAGG